UAUAUCAUAAUGGAUGUUUCAUCUAUAGCAGACGCAACGAAUAACUUGAUAGUAUAUCUGGCAACAAUCAUAGAGAUUGCUCAUUAUACUCUGGUAAUUUACGGAGUACGGAAUGACUGGGAUGUCAACAAGGCAAGGAAACAGCCAGUUGCCACAUGGUUGAUGUCGAUAGCUUGUUGCUACGGUGGAGGGAUGAUCAUAAGUGUUUGUGUAGGAAAACCUGCUCUGACUCCUCUAUCCAAUAAUCAGUCAGUUCUCAUGAUGACAAUAGUAUGGUGGCACAUCUUCUACUCUCCCAAAGAUGUCAUUUAUAAUUUGUUGUCAUGGAAACCAGCGAUGUUAGUGAUUGUUCUGGGAAAAGAAAUGAUCCGAACAAGAAAAAUUAUAAAAGGAGUGAAACUUGGUCGUGGAGCUUUCCCAGACUCUCUCUUGAUCUGUACUAUUCUUGGAAUGUUUGGAGCCUGCGGAGGGGGGUUCGUCAAAAAUGCUGCAACAUUUGUGAGGAAACAAUGGAAUCAUGAGACCGUGAAAUCUAUUCAUUUGGCGACAGUAACAAAGCUCAGUCUUCUGUUCUCUCUACUUUACAAUCUACAACUUCUAGGAAUCCUGCCGAUCUCAUUCAACACUGUUGUUCUUCUACAACUAACAGUGAUGUUCCUGAUAUCGGCUUCUUCCAAGUUUGGCGUCAACUUUGAUCCGUUCCAUCGAAUUGAGAAGAUUAUCACAAGUUGCGUGAUAGAUUAUUCUGCGUAUGUGGGAGCUGAGGAGGAAAAAUCCCCUCAGAAAAAAGCCGGGGACGAAAAAUCCCCUGAGAAGAAAAAAGAUUCUUUGAAAAAGAAAGAAUAAGCCCACAGCUUUGCCGCAAAUUGAAAAUGUUUCAUCUCAAAGAAGUGGAUCCGACAUUAUUUUGACUUGAAAUGCAGUAUCUGACAGAAACGUUCUAUACAACAUAGAAAUCUUCUGCGAUGAUGUGAAACUUGGAGAGACUCACACUACAGAAGUUCCUCAGUAUAGAAUGAAGUCACCCACACUUGGUAAAACAUAUCGUUUCGAAGUCUGGGCCAAGGAUGAAUGGGGAAACUCUGGCAUCAAAACGCAGUCAAAGAAUGUUAUAAAAGAACGCAGAGGACCUCCACCUAUCAACUUUGCUGGAGCAAAUAUUGGGAAUCUGCAUCUACCAGAAAGAGGAAAUCAGAACAAUCAGCAAAUAGUAAGAUUUGAGGGCAAAAUGAACAAGAAGAAGCUGGUGCAGUAGGUGGAAACCAAGCAAUAGAAUAAACCAAUAAAGCAUGAAGGUGAUGACGAUUCCGAUGAUCUUGAGAAGUUUCCCAACUGACCACGUUCUAAAGACAUUGCUAAAAUACAAAUGUUUCAAUUAUGUCGUAUAUUCAACAGUAAAUUCCUCCAAUAAUCUCAGACUGAAAGACGAAUGAUCCUGUGGUAUCCUGCAACACAUUAUGGACAUGCAUAUGUUGUGAAGGGCUUAAAUAUUAGAGAAGACUAGAUAGUCUAGUCCAAUAAUAGUAGAAUUAGGGGAAAAAUUUCAUAAUUUUUUUUUUAUGUGAAAUGCUGAUUUUGCAUAGGCUUGGAUUGUGAAACAUAGUAAUUGACUCUUAGUCAUAUGCACCACCCUUCAGCAACGAUUUCGGCAAUUUGGGUCAUCCCUCACAAGAUUUGACCUCUUGAAAUGACCUCAGAGCAUUUUGUAAAAUUCUGCACCAAAUCCUGAUUUUCAUGUUUUGUCAUACAAAUUCUUGUCAUUUCAAGAUUUUUUUAUUAUUUUUUCCUAUUAGUUUUAAAAAUUGGGUUGGGUGCUGCAUUAAUGCUUUAGCUUCUUAUGUACUAUAUUUAGUGAGCCAUAACAAACUCACUUUAAGCUUUUCCAGAUAUCAUGUGUAUUGUUUUUAUGUCGCACUCAUUCAGAAAUUUUUGUGUAAUUAUAAUUUUAUGGUAUGUCAACAACUUUCUUUAUUUAAGUCAGGUUUUGAGUUUUUUCUCAUAAUUGACAACUGCUGUACUCAAUCUUGCUGUAUUUAAAUCGCCCUUAAUCCUUCUUGUUGUCAAUAGGCUUUCUUUGUAACCUCACAUUUGAUUAUAUUUUGAAAUAUGAAAAAUAAAAGAACAAAAAAAUCAAUAAAAACUAUAAGUUAUUAACCUAAUCGUAACUGAUUUAAUAGCCAUUGUUCGAAUUUUUAUUAAUUUUUGUUGUAAAAUGCAUUAUUACCUUUCGCUCUUAUAUUUUUCAAUUAUUGUCAACUAUUGAUGUCUAUUAUUUCUAUGUAUAUUUCAGAACAUCCCUAUAAAGUUAUGAUAUUCUGAUUUGUCGGCAAACGCGCCAUAAAAUAUGCAUUUCAUGACUGCUAUAAUAACCGUUGGACUAGACUGAAAUGUUUUUGACUUUCUGUUGUGAUUUGAUAUUGUGUUAGUCGGUAGCUGAGGACUCUUUUGGAGCCCAUUGUAACGUUGCCUCUAAUCUAUGAAAAAUAACAAGAGAUGUACUAUAUUAUAAUAGUGAUACAUGUAGAUUCUACAUUCACUUGUUUUGCAAUGCUUAUUACGAAAUUUUCAUGCACCGAAAUCAGCAUUUCUAGUUUAUAUUAUUCUCUAUAACUCCGUGUGUUUCUGUUUGUAUAAAGCGAAUAGUAGUAACUGAUGAUGAGAAUUCAUUUUUAAAAUUCUCAUUGAGACUUGUACUUGAAUGUGUAAUAUUUCGAUUAUUGAGUAUCUCUUGUCGAAAAAUAUUUAUGAUUUGAAUU